GAUGACACCAAGUUGUCUUUCAAUCCAAUGCUACUUUAAAGCAGCCAAAAUCCUCUCCCAGAAAUGACCCUCUUCUAUAAAACUGUCUGCAAGCAGUUACACUGGAAAAGGAGUUCUGUCCAUGGGAGACUGGAGAGUCCAUCAGAAAAUAUUGCAGUCGGGAAAGGACUAGCUACAAUUCUACAUUUAUUUUAAAAAACUCCGCGGGACUCUUUGCCAGUGAAGGGCGGCCAUAGACUUUGAAAGGAGGAAAUGAAGAGUUUAAACUAAUAUUUGUGGACAUUCCAUAGAAGAGAGUUGGACUUGUUAAUGAGUUCAAAGCGAGGGCCAGAAGAGCAAGCAGAAUUCCGGCAUAUUGCAAUCCCAGCAGACAUUGU